CAGACAAGACUUUGCUUAACUGACUAUCAUAACUUUGCUACUUGAUUUCUUUGCACAGUAAACAUAAAUUGUGCAAUCAGUCAGAUCUUUCUGGACAGUGAAAGUCCUUAUUAGGAAAAAAGUGUUACAUUCACAUACUUUUUAAAAAAGCCAAUUUGUUCAAAUUAUCAUUUUCAGUGCAUAUUUUUAUAUGCCAAAAAAUCUUCAAUAAGAUCUUGUUGUUUAAGAUACACCCCUUAUGAAAUGAGGAGAUAUAGUAGCAAAAGUGAUCUCACCUGCAUUCUUCCAGAAGGUGGAGCUCUAAGAACCAAUUGUAGUUCAGUCUCAGUUCAGAUUAAAAACAGAGCAGACAGACUUAUAUUGAGUCACUUAUACUCUAGGAGGAAACUGUAAGUCUUGGAUCUCAAAGUCAUUGUCUCUUAUAGUGCAGAUGUUGCUCCUGGUAUUCAUUAUAUUUUCUCUUCUAAAAGAUAAUGCUGCUGCAGACGUGAUAACACCAUUCUUCACAGAUAUGCAGGUUUUGGAAGGAAAAGAUGUUACACUGAUCUGCAAAUACACUGAAAGUGUUCGAAAUUUGCAGUGGUACCGUCAGUAUCCCGGAUCCAAACCUGACAACCUCAUUUUGUUCAUUGAGACCAGCCCUAAAUCAGAGCCCUCUCUCCGUCUGAGCGCUGUAGCUGAUAAAGCCCUCAAACAUAUGAAUCUGACAAUCUCUUCUACAGAAGUCAAAGACUCUGCCAUGUACUAUUGUGCCCUGCAGCCCACAGUGACAGGAAACACAACUGCACCCUACAAAAACUCAAUGAGAAAUGAGAAAAUCAUAAUGCUAAAUUUAACUUAA